CUUUCUCAGAGAAACUCUCUCUUUUCUCAUUUUCUUCUUCAUCUCUUCUUCGCAUCUCCUCUUUCUCUCCUAUUUUUCUUCAUCCUUCUUCUUCGCAACAACAGUUAAACACUUAAACUUACUGAGGAGAGAUCGAUUGAUUCGAUCCAACUAUUGGGUACUUGAGUUGAAAUUGUACCAAGUAAAACAGGUACUUAAGCUGCUUAACAUACCAAAAUCUGUCUAGAAUUCUGGUAGGAAAACUGACAGGAAAAUCUGUCUGGAAUUCUGGCAGAAAGUACCGACUGGUACCGGAACCGUGCCUGGUACCGUACUUGUGCUGAAUGAUACCGGAACCGAGGACAGAGGAAGCGAGACUAGGGAGAUACAGGUACUCGGCAAGAGCCGAGCCGAACCGUACCGUGUGCACCCUUAACCGUAACAACAUAUUUAAUAUGAAAUGUUUUUCUUAUCUUCUUAAACCAAGUAUUAUGGCCAUUCACAACUUAUAGGCAAAACCGUGACAAAAAAACAUUGACCGAAAACCGUGACCGAAAGACAAUGACUGGAUAUAGGUUCCUUCAAUGUGGUCUAAAUAGUUUACACUGGAAAAAAUACUUAGCUAAACCGUUUAACUCUCACAAUUUUUGGUCCAAGUAAAAUACAUAGGUUAAUCAAUAUACUAAUUCAAUAACAAGCCCGACAUUACUCUGAGAAGUCCGGGUACUUCAAGUAUUUCAUCUGCAGUUCUCCUUCAAGUAUUUCAUCUGCAGUUCUCCGUGCAAUUCAUUUGCAGUUCUCCAAGCAAUUCAGGUACUUUCACUAAAGGUCUUACCUUAAUGUCUACUCUGCGUUUUGGCCAACAAAAUAAUCGUUGUUAUAUUCAUUAUAAGCAACCAUAUUGAGGACUGAUGUGUAUUGGUCGGCAUGAAAUGAUGAUGGUGGUGAUGCCCAGCAUUUUACAUUUUUCUUGGUAAAUUAUAUAAUAAUUAAAUUUGGGAAUAAAUAUGAUUGUUUGUGUGUAUUGUGCAAGGAAAAAGCAUAAUCAAUUUCAACCUGUAAUCAGUUGAUGAAUUUACUGUUUGUUUGCAUUUCAAA